AUUGAACGCUGGCGGCAUGCCCUACACAUGCAAGUCGAACGGUAACAGGUCUUCGGAUGCUGACGAGUGGCGAACGGGUGAGUAAUACAUCGGAACGUGCCCGAUCGUGGGGGAUAACGAAGCGAAAGCUUUGCUAAUACCGCAUACGAUCUACGGAUGAAAGCAGGGGACCGCAAGGCCUUGCGCGAACGGAGCGGCCGAUGGCAGAUUAGGUAGUUGGUGGGAUAAAAGCUUACCAAGCCGACGAUCUGUAGCUGGUCUGAGAGGACGACCAGCCACACUGGGACUGAGACACGGCCCAGACUCCUACGGGAGGCAGCAGUGGGGAAUUUUGGACAAUGGGCGAAAGCCUGAUCCAGCCAUGCCGCGUGCAGGAUGAAGGCCUUCGGGUUGUAAACAGCUUUUGUACGGAACGAAAAGACUCUGGUUAAUACCUGGGGUCCAUGACGGUACCGUAAGAAUAAGCACCGGCUAACUACGUGCCAGCCGCCGCCGUAA
rnacentral:rRNA from 1 species